GACGAACGCUGGCGGCGUGCCUAAUACAUGCAAGUAGGACGCAGUUGCGAACGGGUGAGUAACGCGUAGGUAACUACCUAUUAGAGGGGGAUAACUAGUGGAAACGAUAGCUAAUACCGCAUACUAGUAGAUGGAACUGCGUUGUAUUAGCUAGUAGGUAGGGUAAUGGCCUACCUAGGCAACGAUACAUAGCCGACCUGGAAGGGGGAUCGGCCCCACUGUGACUGGUACACGGCCCCGACUCCUACGGGAGGCAGCCGUAGGGAUGUUUCGGCAAUGGGGGGAACCCUGACCGAGCAACGCCGCGUGAGUGAAGAAGUUUUUCGGAUCGUAAAGCUCUGUUGUUAAGGAAGCGGUACUUAACCAGAAAGGGACGGCUAACUACGUGCCAGCAGCCGCGGUAAUUC
rnacentral:rRNA from 1 species